rnacentral:rRNA from 1 species
AUGAUCUUCAAGCGGACCCAGCGCUCGGAGAUCCUCAGCCUCAAGCGCUGCAAUGCCGAGGGCGAGGGCGGCGCCGGCGAGCGCCGUCCAAAGAGGCAGAGGGGUGACGACUUCUUCCCCGUCGAGCUGCUCGGCCACGUGCCGGCCUCCGGUAUCCCGUAUGCCGCCGCCGGGUUCCGCUGGUGCGAGGAGCCCGAGGUUGCAUCACCCGCCGGCGCUGCGCCGGCGCCCGCCGCUGCCGCCGCCACGCGCCCGCCUGUCGUCCGGACGUCGCGCGGGCGUGCCCAGGUGCUGCCCUCGCGGUUCAAUGACUCGGUGCUCAUCGACCCCUGGAAGAAGGAGAAGCCGGCCAAGCCGCCUGCACCGCCCAAGGUCGAGCAGCUCGUUCCCAAAAGCAAGCCGCUCUGCCGUAAAGGUGCAAUCCUGGAUAGGACUUCCGCAUUGUCAGAGGUGGAUGAGGAUGAGGAGGCACAGCGUUACCGAGUGUGCCAGAAUUUUGUUGCCUCCAGGAAGUACUCCAUGUCUCUGAGCGCGCUCACCUCCUUGCACAAUGAACCGUACAGCGGUUACCAUAGAAACGAGUCGAUGGAAGACGAAGAGGAAGAGUCAGAAGAGGACCUGCAGGCGCAGAAGGAGGACCUUCAUUGGAGCACAGAGUUUUUGUAUGGCGACAUUGUGUGGGCACGGCUGGGUAAGCGGCAACCAGCGUGGCCAGGAGUUGUGGUCGACCCAGCUCGGCAGGCAGCUGCCGAUGCAAUGCCGCCCCAGCCGCGUGGAGGUGCUGUGCUUUGUGUGAUGCUGUUUGGCUGGCGUGCAGAGUUCAGUGACGAGAAGAAGUAUGUCUGGGUGAGGCAAGGAGGGAUUUUUCCUUUUGUGGACUACAUUGACCAAUUUCAAGGGCAAACAGAUUUGAGCAGUCUCAAACCUGGUGACUUCCAGAGGGCACUAGAAGAGGCCUUUUUGGCCGACCAGGGGUUCUCUGAAGUGCCAAUGGAUGACAGCACAGCAGGGCAGCCUGUUGUCUGUCAAUCUUGUCCAGACGAAUUAGAAGAAGUGACUGGUUCAAACGAGCUGGAGUGCCAGGCACAGAUUAAGCAUUAUACAAGUGAAUUGCAGUGUGAAAGUUGUGGAAAUUGCUUUCCAAACAAAGAGUCAAACAAGUUGGUUUAUGUGAUGGAGCAACUUGCUUGCAAACACUGUGCUAGGAUCUUGAGAUCAAAAGAGUACUGUGGGAUAUGCUUGAAAAGUUGGCAACAUAAAUGUGACCGAAGAUGGGUUUGCUGUCAUGGUUGUGAAAGUUGGAUUCAUGCAGAAUGUGACAAAAAGUGCAGCAACCUAAAGGAUCUACGAGACAAAAGUUACUUCUGCCUUUACUGUAGAGUUAAACGUAACUCAAAUCUGUCCAGCAAGAAGACAAACUCUCCUGAUGAUAGUAAAGAUAAUUCUGCACAGAAAGGAAGGAAGCCUGACAGAGUAGGGGUCAUCUGUUUUGACAUGGAAGGAACUUACCUACCAAAUCUCGAACUGAUUUCUUGCCAUUGUGCCCCUUGUAAGGGACAAAAGUUUCUGUUCAAUGAAUGGGAAAGGCACGCUGGCUGCAGAAGUAAAAAUUGGAAAUCUAGUAUUAAAAUGAAGGGAACACUUAUGCCAUUUGGAAAAUGGAUAGAUCAACAUCAACCAAGCGUGUGUUCCACAUAUCCUUCAAAGCGCUCCUCUCAGAAACUGAAAAAACAGCAGUUACUUGAUUUGUUAAAUGAACCUUAUGAUCAUGUACAAGUGAAAUGGACAACCGAAAGGUGUGCAGUCUGUAGAUGGGUUGAAGAUUGGGAUUACAAUAAGAUUGUGAUUUGUAACAGAUGCCAGAUAGCUGUUCAUCAGGAAUGCUAUGGUGUGAGCGGUAAGCAAGAUUUCACCUCGUGGAUUUGUAGGGCUUGUGAAACGCCUGAACAAAAGAGGGAUUGCUGCCUUUGCCCUGUGAAAGGUGGAGCGCUGAAGCCAACAAAUGUUGAUAACUUGUGGGUACAUGUCGCAUGUGCAUGGUUUCAGCCACAGGUGGCUUUUGCUAGUGAUGAGCUCAUGGAACCUGCUAUUGGGAUAUUGAGCAUGGCACCUCUGCUAUUUAUGAAGAUGUGCGUCAUAUGUAGGCAAAUACAUGGUGCUUGCACACAAUGCUACAGGUGCUCGACUUAUUACCAUGCCACCUGUGCAUCAAGGGCAGGCUAUCGAAUGGAGCUGCACUGCUUGGAAAAAAACGGCAAACAGACAACAAAGAUGAUUUCAUAUUGUGCUCAUCAUCGGAGACCUAAUCCUGAUAAUGUUUUGAUAAUUCAAACUCCUGCUGGAACUUUCUCUUCAAAAAGGCUUGUUCAGAGUAGUGGCACCAUAGCUGCUUCAAGACUGAUUAGGAAAGAUCUUCCCAAGGAUUCAGCAUCAGAAGUUGAAACUAUAGAGAAUUUAUGUUCUGCAAGAUGUCGAGUUUAUGUUAGGAAAGAACUGAAGAGAUCCCGGGAGGCAGCAAUGGCACACCGAGUAAGAGGAUAUUGUCAACACCGCUGGGAUGAAAUUGACAGUCUGAAUCCACGAAGGGAAGAGAGGGAUCCGGAAUCCUUUUCUACUUUUAAGGAGCGUCUACAUUAUCUUCAGAAAACGGAACAUAGCAGAGUAUGCUUUGGUAGGUCAGGAAUUCAUAGGUGGGGACUUUUUGCUCGUAGGGACAUUCAAGAAGGAGAAAUGGUUCUAGAGUACCGCGGUGAACAGGUCAGACGAAGUGUUGCGGACUUACGGGAAGCACAGUAUCGUGUACAGGGAAAAGAUUGUUAUCUUUUCAAAAUCAGCGAGGAAGUGGUUGUUGAUGCCACAGACAAAGGAAACGUGGCACGCCUGAUUAAUCAUUCUUGCACGCCAAACUUUUAUGCGAGGAUUAUGAGCGUGGGGCAUGAUCAGAGCCGCAUUGUUCUAAUUGCCAAGAGAAAUGUUUGUGCCGGUGAAGAGCUAACGUAUGAUUACCUGUUUGACCCUGAUGAGGCUGAUGAUUGCAAAGUUCCUUGCCUGUGCCAGACUGCUGACUGUCGGAAAUUCAUGAAUUAG